UGGGGAAUAUUGGGCAAUGGGCGCAAGCCUGACCCAGCCAUGCCGCGUGAGUGACGAAGGCCUUAGGGUUGUAAAGCUCUUUCGGCGGGGACGAUGAUGACGGUACCCGCAGAAGAAGCCCCGGCUAACUUCGUGCCAGCAGCCGCGGUAAUACGAAGGGGGCGAGCGUUGUUCGGAAUCACUGGGCGUAAAGGGCACGUAGGCGGCCGUGCAAGUUGGGCGUGAAAGCCCCGGGCUCAACCCGGGAUGUGCGCUCAAGACUGCAUGGCUCGAGUUCGGAAGAGGGUGGCGGAAUUCCCAGUGUAGAGGUGAAAUUCGUAGAUAUUGGGAAGAACACCGGUGGCGAAGGCGGCUACCUGGUCCGAUACUGACGCUGAGGUGCGAAAGCGUGGGGAGCAAACAGG
rnacentral:rRNA from 1 species